UACGAGGGGGGCGAGCGUUGUUCGGAAUUAUUGGGCGUAAAGCGCACGUAGGCGGUUCGUUAAGUCGGAUGUGAAAGCCCUCGGCUCAACUGAGGAAGUGCACCCGAAACUGGCGAGCUUGAGUACGAGAGAGGAUCGCGGAAUUCCCGGUGUAGAGGUGAAAUUCGUAGAUAUCGGGAGGAACACCGGUGGCGAAGGCGGCGAUCUGGGUCGAUACUGACGCUGAGGUGCGAAAGCGUGGGGAGCAAACAGG
rnacentral:rRNA from 1 species